CGAGCUUGUGCACAGUAUAAGAAGUGUACGAAAUUGAUUGUGGUUUAGGUUAUAAUUAUUGUUAUAAUUCAAACUGACAAAACAAAACUUGACAAGCUUACCAUACAAGCAAUGCAGGGAAAUAACGUCAUGCCUGGAAAAUGUAAACAGAUCUCAUCAUCCGGCCAGUCAUUAGCCACAUAGAAAUUAAAAUCCCAUACUCUGUCAUUCAUAUAGGUCAACAAAGUUUGAUGGAACUGUGAAAGAGAAAGAUAACAAUGUUACGUUAAAAGGUGUAAACAAUUGUCGAGAGUUUAUUCAAGCUAUGGAACCGCGAAGAAACAGUUGGAAAUCUUCUUCAUCUCACGAAAGAAUUAGAAGAGUACAAACUCUUGGGGUAGUUAAAGGGAAGCUUUUUUUUUCGCAGUGCGCAUUCACUAAAGGCAACAUCUUGUCAGAUGAAAAGGUGGAUAUUUACGAGGAAGCUGCAGGAUAAAGGAGAAUCUAGCCAAGGGCGAUGCUCCAGACGUCGCUUCUUAAAAUAAACUACCAUGUGCUAUAUCUAAUACUUUCGUGUUUAAAGCUUUCCUUUUCUUACUCAAAUAUUACAAUGAUCUUCAUUUUGCAAUGAAAAAUUGGAUGAUCUUCAUUCCUUUAUCCAUCAUCAUGUCCAUCGAUAUGAUUUCUGCACUUGAAAACAUUGAAAUCACAAAAUCAAGACCAAGAUAUCUAAUAAAAUCAAUAAAGCAUCAAUAGAAAUUCUGAAAGAAAAUGUAUUUAUCAAUUAUAAAAUAAACAUACCGAAAAUAAUUUAUAGUGAAUUAACUAUGUAUUUAGUAGCUCGGCUUCGAUCAGUUGAAAGUAAGUAAAUAAUCGGCAAUAGAAUCUAUUGCGGAACCUCGUAGCCUGUCCUAGAUUUUAUACAUAUAAUCUGGUUGCACCAGAAUGGACGAGAUAUCAUACUCGACAAACGUCCUAGCAAUUUUAUACGUCGAUUCGAUUUGAAAUUUCAAUACAAACAAGUCAGGAAUGGCACGUAGCCGCAUAUGUUUUUAUUUGUUACGCACGUUUUAU